rnacentral:rRNA from 1 species
AUUGAACGCUGGCGGCAGGCCUAACACAUGCAAGUCGAGCGGAUGAGGGUAGCUUGCUAUCUGAUUCAGCGGCGGACGGGUGAGUAAUGCCUAGGAAUCUGCCUGGUAGUGGGGGACAACGUUUCGAAAGGAACGCUAAUACCGCAUACGUCCUACGGGAGAAAGUGGGGGAUCUUCGGACCUCACGCUAUCAGAUGAGCCUAGGUACGAUUAGCUAGUUGGUGAGGUAAAGGCUCACCAAGGCGACGGUCGUUAACUGGUCUGAGAGGAUGAUCAGUCACACUGGAACUGAGACACGGUCCAGACUCCUACGGGAGGCAGCAGUGGGGAAUAUUGGACAAUGGACGAAAGCCUGAUCCAGCCAUGCCGCGUGUGUGAAGAAGGUCUUCGGAUUGUAAAGCACUUUAAGUUGGGAGGAAGGGCAGUAAGUUAAUACCUUGCUGUUUUGACGUUACCAACAGAAUAAGCACCGGCUAACUUCGUGCCAGCCGCCGCCGUAACAC